UACAGCCACAUCAGGUUGAAACACCGGUUCCUGUAGGAUCACCGAAGUUAAGCAACGUUUAGCCUGGUCGCUACCUAGAUGGAUGACCACUUGAGAAUACUAAGUGCUGUAAG